rnacentral:rRNA from 2 species
AGGUUAAGCUACAAAGAGCACACGGAGGAUGCCUAGGCGCCAGGAGCCGACGAAGGACGUGGCGAACAACGAUAAGGCCUCGGGGAGCUGUAAGCAAGCUUUGAUCCGGGGAUGUCCGAAUGGGGAAACCCGGCUGUCUUCAUCGACAGUCACUACUCACUGAAUUCAUAGGUGAGUGAGAGGCAGACCAGGGGAACUGAAACAUCUAAGUACCCUGAGGAAGAGAAAACAAUAGUGAUUCCGUCAGUAGCGGCGAGCGAACGCGGAUUAGCCCAAACCAAGGAGCUUGCUCCUUGGGGUUGUGGGACGUCUCACAUGGAGUUACAAAGGAACCGGUUAGAUGAAGAGGUCUGGAAAGGCCCGCCAGAGAAGGUAAAAGCCCUGUAGUUCAAAAC